AACCCAUGGUAAGGGCACCUUCUCAAUAAAUCCUUGUAUCUCUCCCAUGCAUAAUAUAGUAUUUCUAAAUCUAUCUACACAAAAGAAGAGAUAUCAUUCCUCAAUUU
rnacentral:snoRNA from 1 species